rnacentral:misc_RNA from 1 species
GAAGGCGAUAAGUAAUGUGAAUUGCAGAAUUCAGUGAAUCAUCGAAUCUUUGAACGCACCUUGCGCUCCUUGGUAUUCCUUGGAGCAUGCCUGUUUGAGUAUCAUGAAAUCUUCAAAGUAAAUCUUUUGUUAACUCAAUUGGUUUCUACUUUGGUAUUGGAGGUCUUUGCAGCUUCACACCUGCUCCUCUUUGUUCAUUAGCUGGAUCUCAGUGUUAUGCUUGGUUCCACUCGGCGUGAUAAGUUAUCUAUCGCUGAGGACACUGUAAAAGGUGGCCAAGGUAAAUGCAGAUGAACCGCUUCUAAUAGUCCAUUGACUUGGACAAUACUUUUAUGAUCUGAUCUCAAAUCAGGUAGGACUACCCGCUGAACUUAAGC